UUUGGACGACGGUUUGAGUGAGAGCAGCGCCCGGGGUCCCGCUGUGGGUGGGGACUCCCCUUCCUCCGCUUUGAUCCUCCUGCCUAAUGAAGCCGGGGGCAGCGGCCGAUGGCCCCUGGGCCAGAAUGUAUGCUCCUGGUGUGCUGAAACUGUGCUGCCAACUCUACUGGAUUGCACUCUCCCAAGCUCUACAGUACUCCUCUACACACACAGCUGUUCCUCUAAAUGACUGCAGAAAUGGGAAGUUUCUAGAGGACAAGGGUGCAGCUUCCUCUUGAAGAAUGCUUGGCCAAGACACUUCUCCAGUGGUCACAGAGUCUGAGUUGCACUGCAAGGAAACUGGGAAACAAGCAAGAAAAAUCAGAAGUUGGGAUAAAUGCCUAAUAUUAGGCAGAAGAUUCCUCCAAAUGAUAAACAUCAGUUCCUGAUCUGCCUCUCCCUUGGGGAUAAGUGAAAACUGCAGGAGAAGGAAGGCCCUAAAGGUGGAUAGAGUCCUUCCUGCUGGCCCCUGCCUAGUUUCUGCUCUCAACGGUUCAGGAGGCCUUAAGGAGAGGUUAUUGGUCAACAGAAAAGAACCAGAAUGAAGUUAGAAGAAAGAUACAUUUGGCCUUAGGGACAAGAGGAAGAGCCGGGAACCAGAGCCUGCUCGCCAGCCGGGGGCCACAGAAUUGGGAUGCUGUCCCUGCUGAUGAGACGGAGCAAGCUAAUCUGAUGGCCCAUCAUUCACCCAAGCAUCUGAUUUCAAACCUUCAGUAUCUUACUGUGUGAUCAGGUACUGCCCAAAAAGGCCGCUGUCUCGCAUGAUUCGGUUGACCCGGUCCCAAGGCCAGUCUUCCGCCGGCAGAGGGUCCUUGAGGUUCUUCAGGACAUUCAUCCUCCCGGACGAGAGCUCUACGAAAAGCACAUCCGUCUGAGAGCGGGAUGCAGCAUAAAGGUCAUAAAGCGUCUGGAUUUCUCCUUGGACCGUCAGGGUCUGGACGCGCAGCCUACCCCCAUCCUCAUCUACGCUGACCACAAAACGCCCGUCGGGGGAGACGUAGGGCACGCCUGCCACAUCCCCGUUUGGGCCGACGACGGCAUCGGUGACGCUGUCUAUCACGAGCUGCGGCGGGGCCGGCGCUGAGUCAUUGCUUCCGCAGCGGACAAAGAAGUAGCCACCCAAAUGGCUGUGGGCCAUGGCCCAGGGAACGCAGCUGGAGUUCUUGAAGCUGAUGGUCUUGAGGCGGGUCACCGUCUCUAGGUCAAUUUUGUGAACAGCAGACUUCACUCUGUCGAAGAGGAAGCCGAACCUGCAACCAGGAAGGAACGAGAGCAUCGAGUCAGCGCUAGCAAGAGAGGCUAAAGCAGCUGAGCUUAUUUACAUUCUUUAUCCAAGGACCUCAUCAGCUCAUUCCACCAGGCUCAAGAGGAACUGUGAAGAAGUGGGCCUGCUCCUCACACCACAAAGUCACUGUUGCAUCAUCCCACCCCCUCCUUUCCUCUCUCUUCAUUCAAACUCCACAGUGUCCAUCUCUACCAGCCUCUGUAGCUUCCGUUUCAGCAUUCCUUAUGGAUUUGGAUGCCUUCAUGUAAGUUAAUUAUGGGCAGGGAAUUCUGUUGUAUUGUACUCUCCCAAGUGCUUGAUACAGUGCUCUGCAUAUAAUAAA